rnacentral:rRNA from 1 species
UACGAAGGGGGCUAGCGUUGUUCGGAUUUACUGGGCGUAAAGCGCACGUAGGCGGAUCGUUAAGUCGGGGGUGAAAUCCUGGAGCUCAACUCCAGAACUGCCUUCGAUACUGGCGAUCUUGAGUCCGGAAGAGGUGAGUGGAACUCCUAGUGUAGAGGUGGAAUUCGUAGAUAUCUGGAGGAACACCGGUGGCGAAGGCGGCAUCCUGGACCGGUAUUGACGCUGAGGCGCGAAAGCUAGGGGGAGCAAACGGG